rnacentral:rRNA from 1 species
CCUACGGGAGGCAGCAGUGGGGAAUAUUGCACAAUGGGGGGAACCCUGAUGCAGCAACGCCGCGUGGGUGAAGAAGUACUCCGGUAUGUAAAGCCCUGUCAGCAGGGAAGAAAAUGACGGUACCUGACCAAGAAGCCCCGGCUAACUACGUGCCAGCAGCCGCGGUAAGACGUAGGGGGCAAGCGUUAUCCGGGUUUACUGGGUGUAAAGGGAGCGUAGACGGCAAGGCAAGUCUGGAGUGAAAGCCCGUGGCCCAACCACGGGACUGCUUUGGAAACUGUGUUGCUUGAGUGCAGGAGGGGUAAGCGGAAUUCCUAGUGUAGCGGGGAAAUGCGUAGAUAUUAGGAGGAACACCGGUGGCGAAGGCGGCUUACUGGACUGUAACUGACGUUGAGGCUCGAAGGCGUUGGGAGCAAACAGGAUUAGAUACCCCUGUAGUC